CACUUUCCGCUUCCCAGCAUUGGCGGGUUCCGGGACUGGUGGCUGCGGUAGCUCAUUGGCCUUUGGUCUCUUAGACGGUGGAGAAUAAUCAUCAUCUUGAAAAAGAAAAUGGUCAUUACUGGAAGAACCAUCUUACAGUUACAGUCACCUCCUGGUCAAUUCCCAACAUUCAAAAGGUGCUGGGAUUACAGGCGUGAGCCACUGCGCCCAGCUACAACUGACUUUUUUGAUCCCUGGGAGAUGAGUCAACACCAAGGGACGACCAGUCCUAAGCCCUGGACAUGGACCUGGGGGUGAGGACAGAAGGGGAUCAGGACCAGCCCUCUCAUCCUGCACACUGAGGCAUGGGUGAUCCCAGGAAGCCACUCACCAGGCACCAGGGUGGCUUCCUGGAGGAGAGGAUGCUGAAGCCGACCUCAAGAAGUGUCUGUGUUAGGUUUAAGGACUCACAAGACUUCUCUGGCUGGACUAAAGCUGUGCGACCUUGCCAUUGUACUUCUCCAAAGCUAGUGUCUUCACCGCUCUGCAAAAUAUGGCAAAGUCAACGGUAGCUCUCAUCACCACUGGUAGGUACUGUGGUGAUGUGGUGGGAAGGGGUGGAUCAAAUCAUGCACAAAAAACUUGAAGGUUGAUAAUCUAGGUAAGAGAAAAAGACAAGCCAAUAACAUGUUGUUAUCGGCAAAAGUUGAGAAAUACGCAAGGUGCCCGGAAGAAAGUAUCUGAGAUAGGCUCUAAGGCUCUAACGAAGUAGAAUGUCUAAGCAGGUCGCGGUGGCUCUCGCCUGUAAUCCCAGCAUUUUGGGAGGCCGAGGUGGGUGGAUCACUUGAGGUCAGGAGUUCGACACCAGCCUGGCAAACAUGGCGAAACCCAGUCUUUACUAAACAUACAAAAAUUUACCGGGCGUGGUGGCGCACGCCUGUGAUCCCAGCUUCUUGGGGUGGAGGUUGCAGGGAGCUGAGAACACACCACUGCACUCCAGCCUGGGUGACAGAGCAAGACUCCGUUUCAAAAAAAAAAGGAAGUAACCGUCUAGAUGGGAGUGAUAAGGACCAAGUAUCCCUGGGAGAAGAAAACAGCUCUGGUAGCAGAUCACUCAAGCCCGGGAGGUGUAGGCUGCAGUGAGCCGUGAUCACGCCACUGCACUCCGGCCUGGGUGACAGAAGAAGACCCUAUCUCCAAAAAAAAAAAAAAAAAAAGAAAAGGCCCACCAAAGCCAAAUAGGCAGGAAUACAGAAAGGCCAGCAUUUCAGUUCUGUGCUCCUAAGCCUUUCAGAACACUGUGCUGUAGACAGAAGGGCUGGACAUAACCAUUCAAUGGGGGCAUCUCUUGCAACCUGCAAUAGCAAAAUCUCAGAGCUUGUGCCAGAAAGGUGCAGAUUGGCACAUUUAAAUCCCGGAUCUAUCACUUCUUGCCUGACCUUGAGCAAGUCACUUAAUCUUUGAACCCCAGCUUCCUGGUUUGCAAAGCAGGUUUAAUACCUAAUACACAGAACGUACCUGGGGGUCCUGGGGUCUAGAUCCUCUCUUCCAACUAGUUAACUCCAAAUGUGAGCCACUGGCUUUCCUACUUCAAAAGCCCUAAGGGCCAAUGGCUCAUGCCUGUAAGCUCAUGCCUGUAACAGUUUAAAUGUUAUGUCCGCACGCACCUCUGACAGGCUGAGGUGGGAGGAUCAUGUGAGGCCAGGAGUUCAAGGCCAGCCCGGGCAACACAGUGAGACCCCCAUCGCUACAAGAAAUUUAAAAAUUAGCUGAGUGUGGUGGUGCGCACCCGCAGUCCCAGGUGCUUGGGAGGCCGAGGUGAGAGGAUUGCUUGAGCCUAGGAGUUCGAGGCUGCAGUGAGCUAUGAUGGUGCCACUGUACUUCAGCCUGGGCAACAGAGACCCCAUCUCUUAAAAACAAACAAAAAAAAGCUCUAAGAUCUAGUGCCACCUCCUACAGGUAGGCACCCGGCGUUCUAGGUACCCUGCUAGACCAGCCCUUCCCUGACUCCACCCUGCUGUAGAAUGAUGGCCUCUUUCUUUCUCUUCCACCAGGCUCUAGGGCUUGGCAGAGGAAGGGGCAAGGUAUCUCUGCAUCCCUUGGACCCAGCCACACCCCAACACAGAGUGAAUGUUUCCUAAUGCCAUUCCCUUUCCACAACUCCACUCCACGAGAGAGAAGUGACUUAAGCCUGCUAAGGAGCGGAGGGAAAAGUUCAGGAAGGUUUCAGCAUGCUAUCAUUAGCGCUAUCAUUAGCUCUUGAGGACUGAAUAGGAAUUUACUAGGGGUGGGUGGGGGAGAAUAUUCCAGGCAAAUGGAAGAGAGGUAGAUACAAAGGCACAGAGGUAUGUAGGGAACAAUAAGGGAAAUUGUGUAUUUGCUGGGGGAGGGCUAAAGAUGAGGAUUCAAGGCCAGGAGCAGUAAUCCCAGGACUUUGGGAGGUCGAGGUGGGAGGAUUGCUUGAGCCCAGGAGUUGGAGGCUGUAUUGAUCUAUGAUGGCGCCACUGUACUCCAGCCUGUACGACAGAGCAAGACUCUGUCUCUAAAAGAGAAAAAUAAAAAAUAAAAAAAAUAAAGAUGAGGAUUCAGGAUCUAGAUCCCAAA